rnacentral:rRNA from 1 species
CGGCGGACGGGUGAGUAAUGCCUAGGAAUCUGCCUGGUAUGGGGGACAACGUUUCGAAAGGAACGCUAAUACCGCAUACGUCCUACGGGAGAAAGCAGGGGACCUUCGGGCCUUGCGCUAUCAGAUGAGCCUAGGUCGGAUUAGCUAGUUGGUGAGGUAAUGGCUCACCAAGGCGACGAUCCGUAACUGGUCUGAGAGGAUGAUCAGUCACACUGGAACUGAGACACGGUCCAGACUCCUACGGGAGGCAGUAGCU